GGGAAUCGCAAAGUCACUUGCGAGACGCUCGCAUAUUUUGCCAGCUAUGAUGACAAGAUCGUGACACAGUGAAGAACAUCAGUCGGGAUACAGUACACGUGGGAAUACAAAAAUAUCAAAUUACCCAUAUCACCAUUUUUUUGGGGAUCAUUUUUAGGGGGUGUCAGUUGUAUGCGGAAAUUGUCUCAUCGCGGCCUGGCUCGGCCCCCCGUGAAUAACGGGGUCCACUGUACAUGCAUUGCCUACGACGGGAACACUGCCCCUACCAACAUGGCCGCCACAUAGGCGCAUUGUUCCGCGGGGCUGCUGCAGUGCGCUCCUAUUCCUAUCUGUGGUACUUACACCGAUACUGUACUGAGAAAGACGAUGCUCCACAUUGCAAUAUUGCUCUUUUGUAACCCCCCGAGUGUGCGUCUCCAUUUGGGAGGCCUGGCGGGGUCCGUUGCCGGUGCUCAUCUCGGACAACGAACGGAAAUGCAAUUGCAGAUUCGGACACAGAGUGUGCACGCGUACCCUCAUGUUCUGACAGACAGGCAGUUGGACUCUUGUUACAUCCAGAAGUCGUCCAAGCGCUGCACUGAAUCAGCAAAAGGGGCUUCCUGCACGCUACUCUGCUGCUCUCUGCUGGUUGUCAUUGCAAACUACACUCUGCCACAUUUUACUUUCAGAAACCUUCCUCAACAUCAGAACCAGUGCCAAUGUUGUUGUUGUUGUUGUUGUUGUUUUUUGCCACGACUGUAUUGUCCACUAGAUACAGUCAAUACUGCUGUCAUCGUUUCUGGCCUUUAGCAAAUUCGAGAUGAUUUUGAUAAUACCGAUUGACCUAAAACAGAAAAGGUUUAGUCUGAUUUCAUGUCAGACAGUGAGGGGGGGAGCAUAUGUGUCUUUUUAUACAGUUAUGGCUAAAAACAUAUAUAUAUAUAUAAUGUGAUUAUUAUAAAUCAAUUACAUAGUGAAGUAUUGAAGCAUGUAAACAUCAUUAACAAUAUCAUUCCAUUAUCUUUUCAUGGAAAUAAUUACACGACAUUGAAAUUAUAAUUUUGAAUUUGUACCCUUUUUUUACCACGAGGCAAAAAUAUUGUUUGCUUUGACAACAACUUAAAAAAAAAAUGUAUCAGCUGACUCUGGAUUCCGCUGAACUAAACUCCCAUUCCUAAAACAGUCACACUGAGAAAGACAUCACCAGAUGAAGACAUUACUAACAAUUGAGUCAUAUUUAAAAUGUUUUCCACCUUAAACAUGAGCAGUAGUGAUCAACACACGCACACACAAAGCCGGCACGAUAGCAAGCUAGCAACCACUGUUAGCAAACUUGCCGAAUUCAUUGCAGAAUCAAUUGCAAUCCUUAAUCGCUGCGGCACAACGAGAUGUAAAACUGGAAAUAAACGAAUCAAUAGCAAGUCCAGCUGCAAGAGUGUGAAUUUAGAAUUCCACUGGGAAAGUCGACAUGUCAACAACACAGGACGCAAAGUGCUUGCGUUCACGCGGGCCGUAGACAUAUGUUGACAUGAAUUUUCCAUAGAUCGUCUAUACAUAGACAUCUACGGAGAACGACGUCCGGGGAGUUCGAGCGUUGAAUUGUUUUGAAUUCGAAUGCUUAUUUCUAUCAUCUUAUCUUCUAAUGUCCCACACGCUGACCUUCUGAGGUUACGUCGCGCCCACCUUGCUGCUACCUCUUGCACAGCGAAUGGCAAACUUCGAUCCAGAGUCAACGGGAACCAACAAAACAACUUUACUCAUCAUUCACUACAAAGUAUUUGUCCUGCUCAACUAAAAUGAGAAAAAAAGGAAUCAUUACAUUUCAAAAUAUUUGUUUUGAAUAAUGUAUUUGUUUUUUGCUUUUCAAGGAAACUAAUAUGGUGCCAAAGACGCGUGGGAGGCAGAUUAGCAGGAAUUUGACCUCAAGUAUUGUUUAAUAAAUCUAUAGAAUGUACAAGUACUGAAAUACAUUUCUACCACUAUUCUAAUUUAUUGAGAUGUACUUGUAUCGAAUAGAGCAAAGCGCUGAGCACAUACCAUUUUUCCCAAAUUGGCCCAAAGAAAGUCCAAAUAUCCAGCUCUACAGGAUUUGAAUUCGAUUUUGGAACUUUCUACAGUCCGGAGAAAAAUGCAUUGCGUAGUAGUAAAAUUCAGAUUGUUGCCACGCACCAGUCACUUCGAUGAGGACUGUGGUAUUAUUUGGUUAGCCUUUGCUAUGUUGCACGAUGUGAGAAUAAUAAAGACUGGGGACGCACCUCACGCUUGCAUUGCGUAGAGAAGCCCAUAACGUACUAACGGCAAAAAUCAGCCACUUAAAACCCUUCUAAAACCAAUGGAAUAGGAAUAUUGUCACGGUGUUUUUCACGUCUCGUGUGCUCAUUUAGUUAUUUGUUUCCACCUGUUGUCGUCAACCUUCGACCUUGUGCCGACCAAUCAGCUCCCUCCGCCCCCCCGUGUCUCGUCCAGGCCUUCGUCGUUGUCUCAUCAAUUUGUUUGUGUUUACUUCCCGGGUGUCUUUCACUUCUUGUCGGUUCGUUGUCACUGUGGCUGUCGUCGUCGGCAGUCGUUUCACUCGUCGUGUCUUGUUUGCAGUUUUAGGUUUAUUCAAGUGCUCCUUUGUUACUUCGAUGAUCGGUUUUGGGACUUUGCUUAGUUAGCUUUUUUCAUGAUCCUCGUUUGCCUUUUUGUUCUGGAAAUAAAUAUCAUUUUUGAGA